GGACUACUGGGGUAUCUAAUCCCGUUUGCUCCCCUAGCUUUCGCGCCUCAGCGUCAGAAGAGGUCCAGCAGGUCGCUUUCGCCACCGGCGUUCCUUCCGAUCUCUACGCAUUUCACCGCUCCACCGGAAGUUCCACCUGCCCCUACCUCCCUCAAGACGACCAGUAUCCGAGGCUAUUUUCCGGUUGAGCCGAAAGAUUUCACCCCAGACUUGGUUAUCCGCCUACGCGCCCUUUAAGCCCAGUGAAUCCGAACAACGUUCGCACGGUUCGUCUUACCGCGGCUGCUGGCAC
rnacentral:rRNA from 1 species